UAAGAAUUUGAUGAGUAGAUGUUAGGAAAUGCAGGUUUCGCAAGUCCAUCGGGUAGCGAAUUGCAGCACCGAUAGUCUAGUUGGGUUGGCUGACUCUUUUCCGCUGGGUACUCAUAUAUUCAAAGGCCACCGGNNNNNNUGGUUAGCUCAUAUGAUAAAGCUGGAGUUGCUUACCCAAGAGCCAGUGCGGUAGUUUGGGG
rnacentral:misc_RNA from 1 species